AUUGAACGCUGGCGGCCGGCCUAACACAUGCAAGUCGAACGAGUGGCGGACGGGUGAGUAAUGUCUGGGAAACUGCCCGAUGGAGGGGGAUAACUACUGGAAACGGUAGCUAAUACCGCAUACCCUCGGAUGUGCCCAGAUGGGAUUAGCUAGUAGGUGGGGUAACGUCUCACCUAGGCGACGAUCCCUAGCUGGUCUGAGAGGAUGACCAGCCACACUGGAACUGAGAAACGGUACAGACGACUACGGUAGGCAGCAGUGGGGAAUAUUGAACAAUGGGCGCAAGCCUGAUGCAGCCAUGCCGCGUGUAUGAAGAAGGCCUUCGGGUUGUAAAGUACUUUCAGCGAGGAGGCGUUACUCGCAGAAGAAGCACCGGCUAACUCCGUGCCAGCAGCCGCGGUAAUUC
rnacentral:rRNA from 1 species